GCCCGUGCUUGUGGAGGUGCUGGGCUGGACAGAAGCUAUACUUCACAGAUGCCUUUGGACUUUCUUGCUGGAACAGCAGCUUAACCUACUUCAUCUUCUCUGAAACUGAUAGAAGACAAGCAGCUCAGGACGCUUGGAAAAAAUCCUGAAGCAGCCAGCAUGUCUGAGUGACCCUACAAAUAGCAGACCUGUGAAUGCAGCCCAGCAUGCAUAAGCAACCCCGCAAGAAUAAGCUACUGUGUGCAGUCCAGCAGAUACCCUUCCCUAGACUUGCGGAGUGGUGCUGUUUUCCAUCAGGAGCAUCCAGUGUCUGUUGCCGAGCUUGCUUCCUGGACGCUGUCGCUCUCUGCAGCUCUGUGCUGCGCUCGUGGCCGGACCGGGUGCCCCUGCAGCUCCCCCUGCCCGACUGCUCCGCUCCACGGAGGCCUCGGCAGCCCCCGGGCUCCUUUGGUCCUGGUUUGGUGGCCUAAUCCUGGUCAGGCCUUGGCUCAGGACACCUGGAAAAUGCACUGAGCUGUGAAGCUCUCACACAGGGACUCUUAGUUCAGAAAUCAUGGAAUCUGUUCAUAAGAAAUAGCCUCAAUCCCUGAGCGUGAUCACUAGACAUUAAGAGCUUUAC